AUAUACACGCCCCGCAGAGCAGCCACCGAACCGAAGUCAAACCUCCAAAACUUUUAGUGCAUUGUAGACCCAGCAGAAAGGACAGCGUGAGCCACCGAAGGUGCUGUCACAUCCAAACGGUAAAACCGAACAAAAGUGUGCGGUGAUGACCAACUGGCUGCAGUGCAGAUAUCACUCACAGAAACCCCUUUAAACAAGGCCCAAGAGGCCGCCAUUCCCCUGGUUGAAUGUGCCUUCACACCUUGGGGCAACGGGAGACCCCUGCUGCCGUAUGCUAAGGAGAUAGCCUCCACAAUCCAGUGGGAAAGCCGCUGCUUAGACAGCGCCUUGCCCUUGGCUGGAUUAGCAAAACAGACAAACAACUGGUCACAUAAACGCACACUCUGAGUGCGGUCUAUGUAAGUGCGUAGUGCACGCACAGGGCACAAGGAAUGCAACCUCCUCUGCUCCUCAGAUGCAAAUGGAGGGGGGCAGAAGCUCAGCAGUUCAAAACUCAUAGAGCUAUAGGCUGUGGGGAUAAUCUUAGGUAAAUACGCCGCGUUUGGACGCAAUGUAGCCUUAGAUCCAUCCGGAGUGAACUGGGUACAAGAGGGAUGCACAGACAAAGCAUGAAGGUCGCCCACUCGCUUUGCAGACGUCAAAGCAAGUAGCAGUGCAGUCUUGUAUGAAAGAAAUUUCAUGUCUGCUGACUCAAUAGGCUCAAAUGGGGGUCCACCAAGAGCCUCAAGCACCAACCCUAAAUCCCAUGAGGGAACACUGGGUUUAAGAACAGGUCUUAGCCUGCGGACUCCCUUUAGGAAGCGCAUAGCAAGAGGGUGAGCGCCUGGCGUCACACCAUCAAAGCCAACAUGGCAUGCAGAUAUAGCCGCCAAAUAGACCUUAAUUGUUGAGAAAGAGAGACCCUUAUCCAGCAGGUCCUGAAGGAAUGUUAAAACAUCCACAAUAGAACUCUGAAAUGGGAGUACAUUUCGGUCCUGACACCACUGCUCAAACGCCCGCCAUUUAUAGGCAUAUAGGCCCCUAGUAGAUGAUGCCCUUGCACUCUGGAUUGUUGCCACCACAUUUGGGGGCAGACCCUGAGCCAUUAAGUUGGACCUUUCAACAGGUAAGCAUGUAGUUUCCACAGUUCUGGGCGCGGGUGAAUCACCUCUCCUCCCGCCUGGGAGAGGAGGUCCCUGCAAAAAGGGAGCUGCCAGGGCCUCGCUACCAGCAGACUGAUUAUCUCUGCGUACCACGACUUCGCCGGCCAGCGAGGAGCCACCAGGAUCAGGGAGAGCCCCUGCUGGCGCACCCUCUCCAGAAUGGGCAGAAUCAUUUCCACUGGGGGAAAAGCAUAUAGCAGCGUGUUGGGCCAUGGGUGAGCUAGCGCAUCCAUCCCCAGGGGAGCAUUGCAGUCUGUUAUGGAAAAGAACAGGGGGCAAUGAGUAUUUGCUCUGGAGGCAAAAAGAUCUACUUCUGCCUUGCCGAAGCGGUCCCAUAUCUGAGCCACCACUAGUGGGUGCAAUCUCCACUCUCUCACAAGAGGACCCCCCCUGGAGAGAAGGUCUGGUCCAAGGUUUAAGUGACCCGGAAUAUGUGUGGCUCUGAGGGACAGAAAAUGAACACUGCACCAUAGCAACAGAUAGUGAGACAGUUUUAACAGGGGAAGAGAGCGUGUCCCUCCCUGCUUGUUUAUGUAAGAAACCACGGUUGUGUUGUCCGUCCUGAUCAGAACAUGAUGGCCUGUCAGAACGGGACGAAAGUGCUUCAGAGCUAAAAGGGUAGCUAGUAGCUCCAGGUAAUUGAUGUGGAGUUUGCAUUGUGCUGGCGUCCACACACCUCUCACUGCUGCGCCCUCGCACAGAGCCCCCCAACCCCUCAGGGAUGCGUCUGUGGACACCACCUUGCGAAAAGACACCCUCCCUAUCGGAGAUCCCUGUUGUAGAAAACCGGGUUCUCUCCACGGGAGAAGAGCCGACAUGCAAGACUGAGUUAUCGUCAGCCACCUCUGGAGGUGACGCUGCGCGCACAGCCGGUGAGACUGAGUCCAACGUUGAAACGCUCUCAUUUUUAACAGUCCGAGCGGCACUACAGCGAUCAUAGAUGCCAUCAUGCCUGUCAGCUGUAAAAUCGUCCGGAAACACAGUUUGCGUCCCAACUGAAAUUGUGCAAGGCAGCGGUGAAACGCAGCCACCCUGCGUUCUGACAGACGUGCUCGGCUUGAAACGGAGCAUAUUUCCAGCCCGAGAAAUGAUACCUGUUGACUCGGAGUCAGUGAACUUUUCUGUAAAUUUACUGAAAAGCCCAGUGUUUGGAUGUGCGAUAGGGUCAAUGACAGCUGAGCCGCUGCUCGCUCUCUGGAGCUCGCGAUUAGCACCCAAUCGUCCAGAUAGGCUAAGAUGCGAACACCUUUCUCCCGUAGCGGAGCUAAUGCCGCCUCGACACAUUUGGUGAAUGUUCGGGGGGCGAGUGAUAAGCCGAACGGCAGCACCAGGUAUUCGUAGGCUAUGCCCUCGAAUGCAAACCUUAGAAACUGCCUGUGGUCCGGAUGAAUUGCUACGUGAAAGUAAGCAUCUGUCAGAUCGAUAGUUGUAAACCAAUCUCCCGGUCUGAUCGCGCCCAGUAGCUGUCUGAGUGUUAGCAUCUUGAACCUGUAGGUUCGUAGGUAUUUGUUUAACACUCGCAAGUCUAGGAUAGGACGGAGCCCUCCUCCUUUUUUCGGAACAACGAAAUAGCGGCUGUACCAACCUUUGUUCGUUUCCGAAGCGGGAACAACUCGUAUCGCCCUCUUGUUCAACAAGUUGUUUAUUUCUUCCCUCAGCACUGCUGCUGCUUCCUCUGCUACAACUGUGUGUAUUACAGAGUGAAAGCGAGGCGGCCGGACCCUGAACUGUAAGCGGUAGCCGA
rnacentral:lncRNA from 1 species